rnacentral:lncRNA from 1 species
UUACAAUCUAAGCUUGCCUCACCUACCCUACCUCCUCCGUCUGUUCUAACCCCUUAUUAAUGUCUAUCUGACAACUACCAAUCUUCCUACUACCACCCAGUAAGAUCGAAACAAGCGUCACCUCUUUCCUCUUUUUCUCAACAUGCAUUAACUCCCUAUUACCUUUCAUAUAUUUUUCCAGCAUCUGAUAUCGCCUCUCCAAAUCAUUUCCAAGUAUCAUACUUUCUAGAAUCCCUCCAUGGCGCCCACGCCACGCUCUCCUCUU